GCCUGAGUGGCUCAGUUGGUUGAGCGUCCGACUUCAGCUCAGGUCAUGAUCUCUGUAGUUUGUGGGUUCAAGUCCCACGUCAGGCC
rnacentral:tRNA from 1 species